AAUUUCAUUGUCUAAUUUACAAAUCUGCGAGCGCACUUCCUCUGACUGGAGUUGUUCCUGAAGAACUUGCAGGUGCUAACCUCUCCGGCGCCCUCGCUGCUACUCGAAAAACUGCGUGUUCCUGGCUCUUUGAGCAAACGCUCCAUCCAGUGGCUGUUUUCCGUACUGCACGGUGAAGGAAGUCUAGGCAAAGUCGGAUUCCUUGGAGGAGCCUGCGUUAGAGAUACUACACAAACCAUCUCACCAUCCAAUUUCAUAUGCUUAGAUUUUAUUUCCUGCAAUAAAACAAGAGUUGUUAAAUUGAACGAACUGGAUUUAAAAAGGCUGAUAGUGCCACACAAUGCAUCACGAUAUGAUAUCAACCUAAGACAUAUCACAAGAUAUAAGCAUACAUUUUCCUGUUUUGAAUCAGAAUGACUAUAUUUUUAAACAACAUUUAGUUGUCACUAUAAAUUAAGGUUUUUUUUUUUUUUUCAUCUUCUCCAGUUCUUUGUUUAUAAACUAUGCUGGAAUAUUGUAUUUAUCAGAAGGAAACACUUAAAUUUAAAUUACAGUCAUUAUCUUGGUUUAGUGCUUUCCAACUGGAUAAUGUCUACUCCUUUUGAGGUGGUCUGCACAGGGUUUGAUUGGCAGGGCUCCUUGUCUCUUAAGACUUCUAAAAGCAUCUGUAUUCUGAGCAAAAGACAGUUUGGAUGUCUAUAAAAACUGCAGAUGACACAGAAGAGCCACUCUGGCUUUGAUCACUGAAGACACAUAAACAGGAACUGCUUUUUGAAAGAGGAUUAUAGCAUUUUAGAAACUCUGCAACUUCUGUCACUAUUCUUUGUUCAGAAUUAAUUACUUCAUUUCUUUCACUACUACCAAAGAAAUUUGAGUCUCAGCCUUUGUCACAAUCUCAAAUUAAAGGAGUUUUGAUUACUUACCUCCUUUCCAUCACCAGACAUGGAGCAAAUCUUACAGCUUGGUUUUAAAUGCUUAAGUUCACAGAACUUUCUUUUAAAAAAUUAAUAUUUCUAUAUUAAUAACAAUAAUUAAUUGUAUAUUAUAUAUUAUAUAUCACAUAUUAUAUAUAAUUACAUAUUAGAUAUGUUAUGCACUUCUUAUUAUUAUUGUUAUUGUUAUUAAUGUUUUGAGUUGGAAGGGACCUAAUAGGUCAUCUAGUUCCAGCUCCCCUUCCAUGGGCAGGGACCCCUUUCACUAGACUGGGUUGAUCAAAUCCCUAUUCAACCUUGUCUUGAACACUUGCAGGGAUGGGGCAUCCACGACUUCUCUGGGCAACCUGUGCCAGUGUCUCACCACCCUCACAGUAAAGAAUUUCUUUCUAAUAUCUAAUCUAGAUUUACCCUCUGUGAGUUUAAAGCCAUUCCUCAUUGUUCUGUCACUACAUGCCCUCGUAAUAGUAAUAACAGUAAUAGUAGUAGUAAUAAUAACAAUAUUGUUACUAUUGUUAUGGAAGAGAGCUGAGAAAGUUCUGGAUAUCCAACUGUUAAAAAGCAUCUAUAGAAUUGCAAAUACUGAUAACACCAAGUCCAAUUUUUUAAUGUAUUUGUGAUAUGAAUAAUAACAUAACAAUGGCAAAUAACAAUGCAAUUUUUCCUUCCACAUUUAAUUAAAUGUUACAGGAUUGAUAGUUAUUUGUUGUGAAAAGCACAGUUAUAUGCUCUUACUGUGCUCUGAAUAUGAUAAAGACCACUUCAUACCAUGAAAAAGCAUCACCAUCAAUAUGUUUAUAAAAAAGCCUUACACCCACCAGAGCCCUGGAGAGUUCUUGUGUACCAUAAAGUGCUUUACUUGUCAUCUUCACUGGGAAUCCACAUAGUUGUGAAAGAUUGCUCUUCACGUCAGAAACAAAAGAGUUCACUACACUUUCUGCAUCUGUUCUAGGGAAAUACUGCACUGGCUGACUACGAACGCAACUUAAAGGAUACCUGAAUAAGUGUUAAGCGAUACACAACAAGUUUCUUUAUGUUUCUAUAAUUACUAAUCAUCUUUGUAGAGAAGAAAGCAUGAACAGGUCUAAAGCUUUUUUAAAAAGGUGAAAAAAAGCAUUUAGUUUCUUGCAGGACUGAAGCUUAUAAAGUUACAGGACUUCAGCAUGACUAUACCAUACUAACCUACAGCAGUAAAGAUUACUCAGUAGAAGUAAUCCUUAGUCCAGUCUUUCCUGGCAGGAAAAUUCUCUUUAAAACAAAUAUUUGUUGGCCAUGUUUUUACAAGAAUUUAACUCUUUCUUUUACAUCACCAUUUAGAGUGGCAUUAUCAUUUUUACAGAAGCCGUGAAAUAAAUGCCUCUAUUUUACUAUUAUUCAACACUAGAACAGAGACUUGACUAAAUAUUUUGUUUCAAUUUGUCUAGUGAAACUAUUCUCUACUGGCUUCUAUAAAACUACGAAGAAGAAAAUGUGGUGCACUCAAAAAUGAAAAGCAGAGCUUUGCUAGAAAUGUAGUAGAGGAAAUGUAACAAAUAUAUUCUGAAAGGAUACGUGAAGAACCUUUCCCCUAUUGGUUUGAAGUAAACACUCAAGUAUAUUUUUGUGUCUUCAAGAUCCUCAGGAAGAAUAUAACCAUACUUCAAAAAAACCAAACAAAAAUGUAUAUUACAAAUACAAACUCAAUAGGCACAAAGAAGGAAGUGAAAAAUGAAAACUGUAUAUGUUUCUUACCAAACUCUUCCAGUGCACCUGAAAUUCUUUAUAUGAAUGGAAAGGAGAUUCUGGAGGAAUUAUAUGGCUGAUGUUUAUGAUCUGACCCAUUUUCAUGCUGUGCACAGGUAAAGAAGGGAUGCUUAGAAUGAGUGUCAAAAAAUCCAGCCAAAGAUAUACUGGUCUUUGGAAAAAAAAAUAAUUUGGCAUUGAAAGUAUUUACAGAUUAUUUUUGUUUUGAGGACAUUUAGCUCAAAAGUUUAUGACAUAACAAUAGCAAUACUUCCUGAAGUGUGGAAAAGAACUUGGCAUCUACAAGUCUAAUUUAUCUUGUCCGUAAUACUACCAGUGAGUAGAGAAAAAAAGCAAAUAUAUCAUUGCUUCUCAUAUUUUUAUGAUGAAAAAGCAUAGGUAAAAAUAAAGAUAGUUUGUGGCAAAGAUGGAAAUAUUUUUUCUUUAAAUUGACACUUUCUGCUAAAAUUAUAUUUGAGAAAAAAUGAUGCUUUUGCAUGCCACAGAAGUAGCACAAAAUUGAAAUAAUACUUAAAUGUGUAA